AAAAAAAACUCUGUGAAAAGUGUAUGAAAUGGAAAAAAAAAAAAUAGUGAUGAAAAGCGAAAGCCCGUGUGAGGCAAACUAAGAAGGGAGAGAGAUCCCUAGGGUGAAAGACCCAAAAGUUUACCCCGGGAAGACUCCGAAUGAGGAAUAUAUUUGGGUACGGACGCGUAUCCUUCGGUGAAAGCCCGAGAACGAUAGUGCAUUGUAUGACUGUGUGUCACAUGCUCAUAUGCAUUCAUUUAAUGAUUGGAUGUUGUGGAAUUAAGUAUAACAUUAUACUGUUAAAUGGUGUGACUUGAUUUAUAUUGGUGAUCUGUUGCGUUUGGGUUCUUGAAAUUUAGUAAUCCCCCAUUAACCCUUUGGGUGUUAGGCACUGUACUGAGCAACGUGGAAAUGCUCACCCCUUUCUUUUUACAUAUUUUUAGAUGCAGAUAUCACUCCUAAGGAUCCACAGAUGGGACAGGGAGGACUUCAGGAUGCCCCUGGAACGGUUUAGUGGAAGGGUUUUAUUUUUUAUUGUGUUUAUGGUAUUGAGACCUUGUAAUAAGUGAAUUAUGGAUUAUGUAAUAAGACCUUAAUUUGAUUAAGGGGAUUUUAUGAAAUUUUAAUUUUGGGAUGCAAUGAUGUUUAUUAAAUCUUGAUGUGUUUGAGUAAGGUUUAAAAUAUUGUUAGUUGGUGAGAACCCUAGUGGGAUUUAUAUGUGAAAAAAAAGAAAAAUUCAGAGUGUUUUAGUUGACUGUCAACGUGGAAUAGGAGAAACCCUUAGGGUCAAACCUUUGACCUGGGGUCACGGGUCAAAU
rnacentral:lncRNA from 1 species